rnacentral:rRNA from 1 species
ACUCAAAUGAAUAGACGGGGGCCUGCACAAGCGGUGGAGUAUGUGGCUUAAUUCGAUGCAACGCGAAGAACCUUACCUGGCCUUGACAUGUACGUAGUAGAAGCGUGAAAGCGUAACGAGGUAGCAAUACCAGCGUACACAGGUGCUGCAUGGCUGUCGUCAGCUCGUGUCGUGAGAUGUUGGGUUAAGUCCCGCAACGAGCGCAACCCUUGCAUUCAGUUGCCACCUAACCGAGAGGUUGGAGCACUCUGGAUGGACUGCCUCGUUUAAACGAGGAGGAAGGUGGGGAUGACGUCAAGUCAGUAUGGCCCUUACGGCCAGGGCUGCACACGUACUACAAUGCCCGGCACAGAGGGAAGCAAGACCGUAAGGUGGAGCAAAUCCCAAAAAACCGGGCCCAGUUCAGAUUGUCGUCUGCAACUCGACGGCAUGAAGCUGGAAUCGCUAGUAAUGGCGCAUCAGCUACGGCGCCGUGAAUACGUUCCCAGGCCUUGUACACACCGCCCGU